UACAGAGGUCCCAAGCGUUGUUCGGAUUCACUGGGCGUAAAGGGUGCGUAGGCGGUCGGGUAAGUCUGAUGUGAAAUCUCCGGGCUCAACCCGGAAAUGGCAUUGGAUACUAUUCGGCUCGAGGUCUGGAGGGGAGACUGGAAUUCCUGGUGUAGCGGUGAAAUGCGCAGAUAUCAGGAGGAACACCGGUGGCGAAGGCGGGUCUCUGGGCCGAUACUGACGCUGAGGAGCGAAAGCGUGGGGAGCGAACAGG
rnacentral:rRNA from 1 species